UGCAGUCGAGGGAGAAUUGUUUUUCGGAAUAAUGGAAACCGGCGCACGGGUGAGUAACGCGUACACUACCUACCUUAUACUGGGGAAUAGCCUUUGGAAACGAAGAGUAAUACCCCAUAGUCCCGCAAGGGUAAAGCUCCGGCGGUAUAAGAUGGGUGUGCGUUUGAUUAGCUAGUUGGUAAGGUAAUGGCUUACCAAGGCUACGAUCAAUAGGGGGCGUGAGAGCGUGAUCCCCCACACGGGUACUGAGACACGGCCCAGACUCCUACGGGAGGCAGCAGUGGGGAAUAUUGCACAAUGGGGGAAACCCUGAUCCAGCCAUGCCGCGUGAGUGAAGAAGGCCUUAGGGUUGUAAAGCUCUUUCAAUAGUGAAGAUAAUGACGGUAGCUAUAGAAGAAGCUCCGGCUAAAUUCGUGCCAGCAGCCGCGGUAAUACGAAUGGAGCAAGCGUUGUUCGGAAUCACUGGGCUUAAAGCGUAUGUAGGCGGACUAGAAAGUCAGGAGUGAAAUCCCAGGGCUCAACCCUGGAACUGCUUCUGAAACUUCUAGUCUAGAAUCCUGGAGAGGUUGGGAGAAUUCCUAGUGUAGAGGUGAAAUUCGCAGAUAUUAGGAGGAAUACCAGUGGCGUAGGC
rnacentral:rRNA from 1 species